rnacentral:tRNA from 1 species
GUGGGUCAUCUCAGUGGUUAGAGCUUAGGGCUUUUGUCCGAAAGGUCUCGGGUUCGAAUCCCUACCAGAGGCA